rnacentral:rRNA from 1 species
UGGGGAAUUUUGGACAAUGGGCGAAAGCCUGAUCCAGCAAUGCCGCGUGUGUGAAGAAGGCCUUCGGGUUGUAAAGCACUUUUGUCCGGAAAGAAAUGGCUCUGGUUAAUACCUGGGGUCGAUGACGGUACCGGAAGAAUAAGGACCGGCUAACUACGUGCCAGCAGCCGCGGUAAUACGUAGGGUCCAAGCGUUAAUCGGAAUUACUGGGCGUAAAGCGUGCGCAGGCGGUUGUGCAAGACCGAUGUGAAAUCCCCGAGCUUAACUUGGGAAUUGCAUUGGUGACUGCACGGCUAGAGUGUGUCAGAGGGGGGUUAGAAUUCCACGUGUAGCAGUGAAAUGCGUAGAGAUGUGGAGGAAUACCGAUGGCGAAGGCAGCCCCCUGGGAUAACACUGACGCUCAUGCACGAAAGCGUGGGGAGCAAACAGGAUUAGAUACCCUGGUAGUCCACGCCCUAAACGAUGUGCAACUAGGUUUGUUGGGGGGCAUUUCCAUUUUCCUUAAGUAACGUAGCUAACGCGUGAAGUUGGACCGCCUGGGGAGUACGGUCGCAAGAUU